AAACUUAAGAGUUUGAUUCUGGCUCAGGAUGAACGCUGGCGGCGUGCUUAACACAUGCAAGUCGAAUGUAGUUUACUACAUGGCGGACGGGUGAGUAAUGCGUGAGCAACCUGCCCAUAUCUGGGGGAUAACAGUUGGAAACGACUGAUAAUACCGCAUAAUAUGGUUAGAAGGCAUCUUCUUUCCAUCAAAGAUUUAUCGGAUAUGGAUGGGCUCGCGUCUGAUUAGGCUGUUGGUGAGGUAACGGCUCACCAAACCGACGAUCAGUAGCCGACCUGAGAGGGUGAUCGGCCACAUUGGAACUGAGACACGGUCCAAACUCCUACGGGAGGCA
rnacentral:rRNA from 1 species